rnacentral:tRNA from 1 species
UUUUUUAUAGUAUAAGUAUUAGUACAAUUACCUUCCAAGUAAAAGGUCUAUAAAUGUUUUAUUAUAGGAU